rnacentral:lncRNA from 1 species
UUUAUUUAUUUAUGGGCGUGGGGAAGGGAAAGGGAUGGAGAAUCUCAAGCUGACUCCACACUGAGCAUGGAGCCCAAAGUGGGGCCUCAAUCUCAUGACCCUGAAAUCAUGACCUGAACUGAAAUCAAGAGUUGGACACUUAACCCACUGAGCCACCCAGGCCUUGGAAAAGGCAAACAUAAAGUUAUAUGUUAACUUUAAAGAGUCACUGGAUAGUCAACUAUGCAUUGUUUUGUUAAGUUUUACUUUCCAUUGAGGUCUUGCUAGUGCACUGUAUAGACAUACCAAUAAAUAUGGGACACCUUGCAUAAGAAAAAAUAAAUCACUUUAAAAAAUCACUUUCAGAUAUAAAUUCAAAGUUGGUAUGCUUUAAAAAAAUUUAGGUACAGUUAUGACAGACUGUACACUCCUUAGUAAUGAAUAAUUUGCUAAGCUGAGUUCUAGGAAUACCUGAAACAUUUUUUUUUACUAGCAGAUAACAAUUCAUAUUAAGUAGGCUAUCUCUCUAAAUAUAUUCUCCUAGUCUCAUUUUUCAACAUUAUCUGCUAAAUUUAACCACAGAUGCUUUUUUCCCAUAAAUGGUCUUAAGCAAAGCUAUUCUAAAGAGGGGAAAUGCACAAUGCAAGACAGAAUUAAAUCCUGAUUUUAUUUCUGAUUUUCUCUCUGACACUGGAGAACUUAUUUCUGCUUCCUGUUCUGUAAAUUUUAUACAAUGGCAAUGCCUCACAGUGCUGUUAUAAGAAGAAAAAAAAAUGUGAAGCUUGAGCAAAGGUUAAAAUUGCCAUGAUGGUUGGUAUUGCUGCUAGGAACAUUGCUCUGUUUAUAGGAACACAGACAUCAUCUGCCCUAGACUUGACUUCUAAAAAUUCAAACUUUAAGGCCUCAAGUAAAUUAAUAAUCUGUAUUCAUAUGACACUUUAUAAUUGAUAAAUAACUUCUAUAAAUGUUGUUCAUUUAAUACUCACAAAUGUUACAUAACAAAAGUGCUACCAUCUGAGGAGACAGAGACUCUGAGAUGUCAAAUGAUUUGCUUAAGUUUACACAACUGCUAAUAAAUCUAGGAUUCAAAAAUCAAUCAAUCAAUCAAUCAAUCAAUCAAUCUAGGAUUCAAAGCUGAGAUUCAAAUCCUGUAUUUUGAUUCCAGGGCCAGUAUUUCCCCUUUAUUGUAGGAGAGAUUGUCUGAUGUUUCAUUUUUUUCUUUUAAAAUGUAUUUAUAUAUUUUAGAGAGAGCAAAUUUGGGGAGAGGGAGAGAAAGUCUCAAGCAGACUCUGCGCUGAUCGCGGAGCCCAACGUGGGGCUCAAUCCCAAGACCCAUGAGAUCACAACCUGAGCUGAAACCAAGAGUCAGAUGCUUAACCUACUGUGCCACCCAGGCUCCCUUUGUCUGAUGUUUUAAAAAGCCUCUAAUCCUAGGGGCAUCUGAUUGGCUCAGUCAAUAGAGCACACAAUUCUUGAUUUGGGGGUUGUGAGUUCAACCCCCAUAUUGGGGAUAGAGAUAACUUAGUUUAAAAAAAAAAAAGCUUUUGAUCCUAUUUCUUACCCUAAUUUAUAGGAGCCAUAUGGAAGAAUCCAUUGAAAAGUGUUAGACCAAGUUGUCUGGAUUAAUCAGAGAUUCUGAUGAUUUCCUUAAAUGGUUAAAUUUUCAAUUCCUUUAACUACUUCUUUAAAUCCUCACUCUACUUAUUCAUUAACUUGUCUAUGCUUUUAUCUAUAUAAGAAUACAUAACAUGAUGUCUUCAAUUUCAAAACAAUAUAAUACAUUCUGGAUUGAUAGCAGUUGAGGGAAUGUAGAAUAAAGGAGAGGAACAAAUGAUAAGUCAGAUGAUUUUGUGGCAUAGUGAUUUGGCAUGGGCCCAGUAACAUAUUAGUGGGUUCAGAUUAGGAUUUCUAAAUGUGAACCUGAAUUCUUCUAUAUGUCAAGUGGGGUCAGCAAUAAUACCUAUUUCACAUGGUUAGAGUGGGAAUUAUAUAAAUAUAUGUUGUGGGAGGGGUGUAUAAAAAUAUAUUUAUUAGUGGUUGACAAAGUAAUCGGUACAAAAUAAGUGCACAAUAAAAAGAAAUUUUAUUAUUUUGGUUGAGGAAAGUUGCAAAAAAGUCAAGUUGGAAGAGGUAUUAAACAUGGCUUAACCCUCAUUAAGGAGGCUGUGAACACCAGCAAGAAACAGCAGCUUCUCAAUUUCCAGAUGUCAGGUCAUGGUGUAAAUGCUGAUGCCAGUGGACUUUAUAAUUAAUUCAACUCAGGAUGUAUAAACAAGCCCAGAAGGGCAUUUAAGCAAUGUCCUUAAACAGAAAACAAAAUUUAGAGUUUUCUCAUGAAUGAAGAUGCUGCAUAUCACUUUCCAGCUACCACCUGUUAAAUAUUUUAUUCACCAGUUAUGUGUAAGAAGCAAAGCCCAUGCACAACAGAUGGCAGCCUAAUUCUGGCUUCUCUAAAAAGGUUUUCCUCCUACUCAUAAGAACCCAAGGAUAUGUUGAUAUGAGUGUUGCAGAUGAAUCCUCAGCACUGAAUACUACUUAACA